rnacentral:rRNA from 1 species
AUUGAACGCUGGCGGCAGGCCUAACACAUGCAAGUCGAGCGGAGCGGCGGACGGGUGAGUAAUGCCUAGGAAUCUGCCUGUUAGUGGGGGAUAACGUCUGGAAACGGGCGCUAAUACCGCAUACUAUUAGAUGAGCCUAGGUCGGAUUAGCUAGUUGGUGGGGUAAAGGCCUACCAAGGCGACGAUCCGUAACUGGUCUGAGAGGAUGAUCAGUCAAACUGGAACUGAGACACGGUCCAGAUUCCUCCGGGAGGAGGCAGUGGGAAAUAUUGGAAAAGGGGCGAAAGCCUGAUCAGGCCAGGCCGGGUGUGUGAAGAAGGUUUUCGGAUUGUAAAGCACUUUAAGUUGGGAGACGUUACCAGCAGAAUAAGCACCGGCUAACUUCGUGCCAGCCGCCGCGGUAAUAC